GCUGGGUGCGGUGUCGCACACCUGUAAUCCCAGCACUUUGGGAGGCUGAGGUGGGAGGUUUGCUUGAGUCCAUGAGUUCUGGGCUACAGUGAGCUGUGAUUCUAUGUUUGCUCCACUAUACUCCAGCCUGGGUGACAAAGACCCCAUCUCUU
rnacentral:SRP_RNA from 1 species